UGGGGAAUAUUGGACAAUGGGCGAAAGCCUGAUCCAGCCAUGCCGCGUGUGUGAAGAAGGCCCUCGGGUUGUAAGGCACUUUCAGUGGGGAAGAAAGCCUCGGGAUUAAUACUUCCGAGGAAGGACAUCACCCACAGAAGAAGCACCGGCUAACUCCGUGCCAGCAGCCGCGGUAAUACGGAGGGUGCGAGCGUUAAUCGGAAUUACUGGGCGUAAAGCGCGCGUAGGCGGUCUGAUCAGCCGGUUGUGAAAGCCCCGGGCUCAACCUGGGAACGGCAUCCGGAACUGUCAGGCUAGAGUGCAGGAGAGGGAGGUAGAAUUCCCGGUGUAGCGGUGAAAUGCGUAGAGAUCGGGAGGAAUACCAGUGGCGAAGGCGGCCUUCUGGACUGACACUGACGCUGAGGUGCGAAAGCGUGGGGAGCAAACA
rnacentral:rRNA from 1 species